CACGUAGGGUGCGAGCGUUAAUCGGAAUUACUGGGCGUAAAGCGUGCGCAGGCGGUUUUGUAAGCCAGAUGUGAAAUCCCCGGGCUUAACCUGGGAAUGGCAUUUGGGACUGCAAGGCUUGAGUGCGGCAGAGGAGACUGGAAUUCCUGGUGUAGCAGUGAAAUGCGUAGAUAUCAGGAGGAAUACCGAUGGCGAAGGCAGGUCUCUGGGCUGACACUGACGCUCAUGCACGAAAGCGUGGGGAGCAAACAGG
rnacentral:rRNA from 1 species